rnacentral:tRNA from 1 species
CGGAGAGUAGGUUAAUUAAUCUAAACUGCGGGGUUCAUGUCCCCUUGAUACGUGACUUCGUCUCUCCUA